UGAGGAAUAUUGCACAAUGGACGAAAGUCUGAUGCAGCGACGCCGCGUGUGUGAUGAAGUCUUUCGGGAUGUAAAACACUGUCAGGGGGAACGAUAAUGACGGUACCCCCAAAGGAAGGCCCGGCUAACUACGUGCCAGCAGCCGCGGUAAUACAGAGGUCCAAGCGCUGUUCGGAUUCACUGGGCGUAAAGGGUGCGUAGGCGGUUGGGUAAGUCUGACGUGAAAUCUCCGGGCCUAACCCGGAAACUGCGUUGGAUACUAUCCGGCUAGAGGAAUGGAGGGGAGACUGGAAUACUUGGUGUAGCAGUGAAAUGCGUAGAUAUCAAGUGGAACACCAGUGGCGAAGGCGAGUCUCUGGACAUUUCCUAACGCUGAGGCACGAAAGCCAGGGGAGCAAACGGG
rnacentral:rRNA from 1 species